AGCAAGUAACAAAACAUCACCUCCCAUCCUCUACUAAGAAACAAAUCUGCAAGGAAAGUAUAAAUUAACGACUCCAAACGUCAACCCAACAGCAGAUCGGAUCUCCGUCGAUCAUCAUCAGUAAACUUCUUCAAUCAAACAGGUAAACCAUCCAACCAAGUAGUGUUUUCGAGUAAAAAUCGACAUUCCUAAGCAAUUUGGUGGGCAAGUUGAUUCCCUAUUCUUAGAAUAAACUUAAAUGUACAAUUAUCCAACGAUUUUGCU
rnacentral:lncRNA from 1 species